UACGUAGGGUGCGAGCGUUGUCCGGAAUUAUUGGGCGUAAAGGGCGCGUAGGCGGCCUUCUAAGUCAGACGUGAAAUCCCCCGGCUUAACCUGGGAACUGCGUCUGAUACUGGAGGGCUUGAGUGCGGGAGAGGGAUGUGGAAUUCCAGGUGUAGCGGUGAAAUGCGUAGAUAUCUGGAGGAACACCGGUGGCGAAGGCGGCAUCCUGGACCGACACUGACGCUGAGGCGCGAAAGCUAGGGUAGCAAACGGG
rnacentral:rRNA from 1 species